AUGAACGCUAGCUACAGGCUUAACACCUGCCAGUCGAGGGGAAACGACAUCGAAAGCUUGCUUUUGAUGGGCGUCGACCGGCGCACGGGUGAGUAACGCGUAUCCAACCUGCCCAUCACUUGGGAAUAACCUUGCGAAAGUAAGACUAAUACCCAAUGAUAUCCCACGAAGGCAUCGGAAUGGGAUUAAAGAUUUAUCGGUGAUGGAUGGGGAUGCGUCUGAUUAGCUUGUUGGCGGGGUAACGGCCCACCAAGGCAACGAUCAGUAGGGGUUCUGAGAGGAAGGUCCCCCACAUUGGAACUGAGCCACGGUCCAAACUCCUACGGGAGGCAGCAGUGAGGAAUAUUGGUCAAUGGGCGAGAGCCUGAACCAGCCAAGUAGCGUGCAGGAAGACGGCCCUAUGGGUUGUAAACUGCUUUUAUAAGGGAAUAAAGUGGGUCACGUGUGACUUUUUGCAUGUACCUUAUGAAUAAGGACCGGCUAAUUCCGUG
rnacentral:rRNA from 1 species